rnacentral:pre_miRNA from 1 species
GUAAUACUCCCUCCGUCUCAAAAUUCUUGUCUUAGAUUUGUCUAAAUACGGAUGUAUCAAGUCACGUUUUAGUAUUAGGUACAUCCGUAUCUAGACAAUUCUAAGACAAGAAUUUUGAGACGGAGGGAGUAUGUA